rnacentral:lncRNA from 1 species
GAUGCCGGACAAAGCACUCUCAUUGCUAUUACCUCAACAUCGAAGGCAUGAAUUUUGCUGCUGAGAAGAGAUUCAUGACCCCAGACUACCUGGAGAUGAUGUGGAGGAGGCUUGAGUUCCUAGGAACUGUUUUGGAGCUGGGAUACAACUUCCUUUUCACGGUAUCUCACAUAAAAUCUUCUACUUUUUAUUUGUUUUCUCUAAGUUCCUAUCAGUGACAACCACUACCAUACAUGGUAGUCAUUUGUUACUCUAAUGUGUUCCUCAAUUUUCAUUCUUCUCUCAAAGAACAUCUAAACAAGUUUCAUAAUGGGAAAAUGAAAUCAUGCGAUCAUCUAUGAUAUCGGCAUAAGGACCUAAAUACUGCAUUUGAUUACAUUUCUUUCUUGGACAAAACAUUGGCAUGCAUGCAUUCUUGAUGCAUUUUGUUUUAUCAAUGAAUGGUGCACAUAUGGUGUAAAAAUCAUUUGAAAGUAAACCUCUUCUAUGUGCAUGGUCAUCUUUUUAACAUGUUCAACUUUGGCUGGCAGGACAUGGAUAUCAUGUGGUUCAGAAGUCCUUUCCAACACUUCUCCGGCGAUGCUCAUUUUAUGAUAGCUAGUGAUUUUUUCUAUGGGAAUUCUUCUGAUCUACACAAUUUGCCCAAUAAUGGAUUUGUCUAUGUGAAGUCUUGCGAACAAACAAUUGAAUUUUACAAGUACUGGUACCUUGCUCGGAAACUGUAUCCAGGGAAAAAUGAACAAACGGUAUUGAACAAAAUGAAAAAGGA